UUCUUCAAGAUAACACCUGGAAACCCCUAAGACACCACCCUUCCACCUCCAGCCGCCACACUCCCCUCCCCUCCCCAUUCGUUCUUUGUCAAACCUAACCAAACAGUCCCUCAUUAUCGACAGAUCAAACCAGACUCCUCACCGGUGACCACUCUCAAAGUACCAAACCUCCAGCGUCAACCCCACCAGAUUCCCGCCGAAUCACUGCCAUCUUCGACCAGCUGAUGCGUUGACCAGCCUCCAGCGAUGUCCCAAAUGACCACCGUCUCCUCCUCCUUACUCUAUCCCUCAUCCAUCUCCACCCAGCAUCGUUCAUAGUGGUUCUGUGGUGAGGAGUCGGCCAUCUGCAUCGUUCUUCAUCUUCCAAAACAAGAAAGCUCAACCCAGCUUCGUCAACUCACCCAUCAUGACCACUUCCAUCUUUGAGCUAGCCCACAACCUUUUCCCCACUGUCACACCAUGCCCAACACCGGACAACCCGCUUCAUCUUCAGAUUUUCGUUCCAAAAUGGAGAUGGUUUGAGUUUUGGAAUCGAAUCAAGUUUCGAGGUCGUUGUUGAGAUUCCGGCAGUUCGUUUGGUUUCUUGUUCAUGGUUGUCGUUGGCUUGAUGAGUUGAGAAUUGGAGAGAUUGUAAAAGUCGACCCUCUUUCAAAUUAUAUGUAAGUGUUCGAAUUCGUAGUCUGUUUGUUUUGGUUUGAUUUGUUUUACAUGUUUUAUUAGCUAUUUCAUUAUUACUUCUUCUUCGGUUUUGUUUAGCUAGUUCUCUCAUGAAGAUUGCAUUCUCUUUGUUAAUCGUUAUGUCUCAUUAACUUUCUUUAUUUUUAUGUUAAAUUUGUUUGUUGCUUACUUGUUUGAUGGACGAGAAGAUUGAUAGAAAUGUUAUUCUUGGACACUUAUGAAUGCAUAUUGCAGUAUAUUUGUUGAUUAAGAUAAAUAUGUCAGAUUUGUUAUUAGUUUUAAUCUAGAAGUGUGUUAGUUCAAUAUAUGUUGCACUUAAUCUUUUGUUCUGAGGAUAUUUGAUCUUAUCUGAAUUAACUUAAGUUUGUUGAUUGAUUUUGAUUAGGGAAAUUGGUAUAGCUGAUACAUUCUUGGUACAGAUUGAAAGGGAUUUGAGUAGAAUAGUAAUUUCACUAAUAUCAGGAGGGCAAUUUGGGUGUUGGAAAGUUUACUUAGUGGCCAUUAAAAUAAUGAAUUCUUUAAUAAAAGUGGAGAAGAAGACAUAAUGGGGAGGUUUAAAAGGACUGGUUAAAUAAAGAAAAGUCAAGGGUUAGUAGGGAACAAGACAUAAAGAUGUAAAUAAAGGAAAAAAGGGGUUUGAAAAGUAAAAUAAGGAGUGCAUAAUGAUAAAAGGUAUUCUUUUUAAAACAAUAAAAGAAAAAAAGGGCUGACAAGGAAAAGGAGUUUGGGGUUAAAUAUAGAGAAGAGUAGAGACAUGGGGGGAACACAUUUAGACUUGGACAAAAGGAGGGACUGGUCUUUGAGUAAAAAAAAGUCGGUAAUUUAAGAGAAAAACUGAAAUAGGGAGGUCUUCACUCUGUUUCUGCCUGUGAUUGUUGUUGGUAUUUCUGGGGUUUUAUUUGGUGUUUUUCUUGAGUUUGGUUGGUUAUUUGGUUACUGUUCCACUGGUUGUUGCUAGAAUUUGUCCUGCUGGUUUCCAAAUCUAUUACUGGGUUAUUGCAUUACUGCUUUGUUGGUUGUUGUUGUGCUGUAUUGUUACUACUGCUACUGAUUCUCAUCGUCCUCUUCUCUUGUUUCCAAUACCAGGUACGCAACUGUAACUCUGGCUAUUGUAAGCUAAAAAAAUGUAGAAGCAUGAAUAUAUAUGAAAAAUGGAAGUUUGAAGUUUUGAUUUAGCCUUUUCUUCUUUACAUGAUUGCAUUUUAGAACAUUUCUUAUACUACUGUUAUGUAGAUUUCUGCCAGCUUUGUAUAGUUGGACUGUAUUCAGUUUGAUUUGGAUUAAUUGAAGUUAUAAUUAUAAUGAACUACUAGGAUGUAGUUACCAGCUGUAGUUAGUGUUUGUUUGUAUUUAAGGCAGACUUUAGGACUGUGUAUCCUAAUGGAUUAGUGUUAGUCAUUCUUCCUGGUGCAAUGUAGCUUUAAUCAUUUAGCUAACUCUACCAAGAAGCUAAUUCCAUUAGGCAGUAUAUAGGCCAGUAUUUGAAUCCAGUUUGAUAACAUCUUCUAGUAGUUAAUUGUGGUAGUCCCACUCAUCUAAAACUAUUAGUUUAAACCAAUUAGAGAAUGGUUAAUUUGUUCUAAUAUUUUGUCAAACUCGCAUGCUAUUUAUAAUUUCAGUAGUAGUAAUAUUCACUAGUAGAAUAAGGCACAAAACAAUCUCCCUUAUGCAAGCUCGAGUGCAAUUUCUAUUCAAACAUUGACUUAACUCUACCCAGAAGCUAAUUCCUUUAGGCGGUAUAUAGGCCAGUAUUUGAUCCAGUUUGAUAACAUCUUCUUAGUUUAAACCAAUUAGAGAAUGGUUAGUUUGUUCUAAUAUUAUGUCAAACUCGCAUGCUAUUUAUAAUUCCAGUUGUAGUAAUAUUCUCUUGUAGAAUAAGGUACAAAACAAUCUCCCUUAUGCAAGCUCGAGUGCAAUUUUCGUUCACAUCAAUCUAAUAACUAAUAAGAGGCCCGAUCUUAUAAAUAUGUAAUUAAUUAGGACAUUUUCUCUUUUAUUUUAGAGACGAACUUAAUAGAAAAAAUGUAGUCACUUUAGGAUUGUUCUUUUUAAAAUAAAAUGAGAUGAGCCUCGCCCAAUAAAAAUGUAAUAAUUUGUGGUGCUUUUAUAAAUGUAUAUAUUAAAACACUUGUAUUUUGGGACGGGCAGUUUAGCGAAUUUCACGGCCUUCCCCAAAUAAUAACACGUUAGUCUCUUUAGGCGCAUACUUUAAUAACAUUACCUCCCUAAACUCGGGUGUACAUUUAUGUGGCCCAAAUCCAACUCUCAACGGAGUCGAGAUGUGUCAACAACCACGGGUACAUUAAUAUGACGUGGUUCGAGACGCGUUGUCACGACGUUGAAAUUCUCUUUAAAAUAAUGAUAAUAAUAAAAGCGGUAAAGGUUAAAAUUUUCACAUAGGUUUAACAUGAACUAAAAUUAGAUAAAUAACCGAAUAUGACAGUUGAGGGACCGUGCUAGAACCACAGAACUCGAGAAUGCCUAACACCUUCUCCCGGGUUAACAGAAUUCCAUAUCCGGAUUUCUGGUUCGCGGACUGUAAUACAGAGUCAAUAUUUUCCUCGAUUCGGGAUUCAACCGGUGACUUGGGAAACCAUAAAUCUCCCAAGUGGUGACUCUGAGUCUUAAUUAUAAAUCCCCUUUCGAUUGUCCUUUAAUUGGAAAAACUCCCUCUGCACCACCGCGGGCGCGGGUAAAAAGGAGGUGUGACAGCUACCACGACAAAAAUGAGAACAUUGCACCAGGAAGCAAUAUCUUCAAAAUGUUGCAAGCCCAACAUGAAGCAAUAUCCUAGAUACCAAAUUAGAACCAAACACCGAACAAGCUCGAACUAGAGCCAUCAAAAGACGUCGAACAUAGGGUCGAAUUGUCUUCGAGGGAAUCGAAUGAAAACUAAUCGGAGAUCAAUCAUGCUAUCAUAAAUAUGCUCGAAGAAUUUACAAAGCGAAUCGAGAUAGGAGAAAAGAAGAUCGAGGAAAAUGAUAGGAAGGUUGAAACCUAUAACUCUAGGGUCAACAAAACGCCCGUGGCACCACCGAAGUUUAGUAGCUUCACAGCAGUUGAAGUAGAAUUUGAUCGAAUACCCAACUGUCACAUAGGCCGAUGCGCACAAUCGGUAUCAGAUGAAUAUCAGGGUCAAGAACGAUCAACUGGGGCUCUUUAUGGGCCUGUUUAUCCUAUCAGGCCCGUAGAUAGAAUCAAGAGAGAUAUUGACCGAGAAUCAAAGUCAAAAAGAGAUCGAUAUCAACCAUAUAAUGGGGACCGUAGAGGCAGUAGAUCUGCGCGAAAUUCUGCACGGAAUAAGAGGAGAAAUAAUCGAGGUCAAAGUUCACGGGGACUUGGUACUGAGGAAGGUCACAUAAACAUCUGGAAUCCAAAUGAAGGAAUGACCCCAUUUCAAUUGUUUCUAUUUUUCGACUAACACUUGUAGGUUAUCGACAAGGAGCGGCAUAAAGCUUUAGGUUUUCUACUAUCCCAAUUAGGUUUUUCGACAAGGUUUUUAAGGAGACAACAAUGGAUCAUGGUAACUUAGAAUUGAAGGCCGACCACGGAUUGGUGUUAAGACAUCAUUUAAUAGUAUCCGAAGUUCCCUACAAUCAACCUCGAACAUUGGGGGGCAUUGCCUCUGGAUGUCCACUUUAUUGCGAGGAAAUUACUUCAUAAUGAUGGGGUCUCGAUAGGGCCAUACGAACAAGAGAACCAUGCCCCCAUAGAUUGUUCGAUCCAUGGCUCACAACAUGUACGCAUGUAUAAUAAUUUUCCACAAGAAUAAAGAGAGGUAUUUUCUCAUUGUAAUUAUCCCAUGCCUUAGAAAAUGUUUUUCUAGUUUACAAUUGCAUACUUUCAAUCAAUUAUUGAAACGAGCUUAAGGGCGAUCAUAACCAGAGUUCGUAUAUUCACCCCUACACUCGGGGAUUGUCGUCCGAUAAAUAAAACUUGAACAUAUCGAACUAUUGAGCGUCGAAGGCAUAAGACCUUUUAGGCAACCCUUGAAUUUUAAAAGUCACAACCAUACCCACUCAAGGACUGUUAUCUUAGGAAAACCUGGAUAACCCGGGGAAGAAAUCUCACUGGGAUACACCCAAACCAAAAGGCUAUGGCCAAUUUAACACGGCUCAGAGAUGUCCGAACUCAUAACAAAAUGGGCUCGAAAAGGAAAAAAAUAAAGCAAAAUUAUAUAUGGCUAAGGGCUACUUUUACUUCGAGUUCGAGAUAUCAUUCUCACUCGACCACAAAGCCCAAGGACUACCUUAUCCCGAGUUCGAGCAAGUCCUCACUCGAAUACAAAGCCCAAGGGCUACCUUAACCCAAGUUCGAGCAAGUCCUCACUCGAAUACGAAGCCCAAUGGCUACCUUAACCCGAGUUCGAGCAAGUUCUCACUCAUGGAAUAUCAAUUGAGCUCAAGGGCUGCCUUAUCUCGAGUUCGAGCAAGUUCUCACUUGACCAUAUAGCGUAAAGGCUACUUUACUUUGAGUUCGAGAAAGUCCUCACUCGACUACAAAUCCCAAGGGCUACCUUAGCCCGAGUUCAAGCAAAUUCUCACUCAUGGUAUAUCUAUCGAGCCCAAGGGCCACCUUAUCUUAGGCUCGAGCAAGUCCACACUCGACCAUAAAUCUUAAGGGCUACUUUUACUACUUCGAGUUCAAACAAGUCCUCAGUCAAACAUAUAGCCUAAGUGCUACUUUCACUUUGAGUUCGACCAAAUCCUCACUCUACUGUUAAGCCUAAGAGUUACUCCAACUCAAGUUCGAACAUUCACUCAGGGAUUGCCAAUAAUAAAUGGGCAAGGGCAGUACUUACUAAUCGGUCCUUACUAUCUCAAAACCUUGGACCUUAGAAUACAACUUCAUAAUUUUAUGCUUAGGCACUUUGACCCUUAUAUAAAUUAACAAAAAGACAACAGAUUCAAAAGCCACAGAAAGUAAAAAAGUUUUAUAAAUUCAUCAAAACCUUUUUUACAAGGGAAACACAACCCGAUGAAAGUUCUUUACAAAAGGCCAAAGCGGCCUCGACAGAAACACAAAAACUAUUUAAAAGCCUAAGUGGCCUGGUCAUCCCCGGGAGUGGCAUCUCCCCCCUCGAGGUCUUAUGCACUUUCGGACUCACUCAUGCUUUUAGAUUUAUCAUCAUCAUCGGGAUAGGCUAAUUUCCUAGCUUCAGCUUUAAGCUUCUUGCAUUCUCGAUCUCGGUUGAAAGAUCAAAGCCUCGAGCAUGGAUUUCCUCAAGGGUCUCCCUUUGAGAUUGACAUUUGUCGUGCUCGGCGAUCCUAUCUUCUUGAAUAUGAGCAGCUCGGAAACCUCCUUGGCUCGAACCUGAGCAGAUUCAGCAUCGACCCCAUAGAUAGCCACCACUACAUCAACAUUGGCCUUGGACAUUUCAAUCUUCGAUUUGGCCUCUUCGAGCUCUCUGACCAGCUUCUCUCGAUCGAACAUUGUUGAAUCCAACUGAGACUGGAGCUGCUCCAUUUUCUUGGAUUAUACCAAGGAAUUCUCAUUCAUACUUCGGAGUUGGAUUUCAUCCAAGGCCAGUUGGGCCCGAGCAGUCUACUUUUCUUAGGCAAGACGAUCCAUAUUCUUCUUCCAUUCUUCGGCCUUUGUUUUCAUUGCGUCUACUUCUUCACGGAGUUGCCCGAUUAUAUCAAUCUUUUAUUGGACCUGCGGGUUCAGAUAGUUAGUCAAUGUGCCCUAUUUGCCUUCAGUAACUUCGAAGAUUAUGUUUUACCUGCUCGACCAGUUCGGCAUGCUCUUUUUGGGCCAUCUCUAAAUUAGCUCAAAGGCUCUUAAAUUCCACUUCUCUUUGCUCACUAAGAAGUUCGAACGCAUCAUUCUUCUCGGUGAGCCCCUCGGUCUAGGCCUCAUAUCGACUCGACUCUUCUCGGGAUCAGAGGAAUGCCUCAUGAUGAAGCAUUGAAGCCUGCAAAAUACAAAAAGGGAAAUUAUAUAAAAAAGCAUAAGUACAGAACUUGAAAUUGUCAAAGAUAUCUAUAGGUACCCGAUUCAAUGCAUAUUGAGCUUCAUUGAACAUGCAGGGCAUCUCCACUUCAUCCAUGUUAGCAUGGUCCUCUUAGGUUUCCAAACACCGAAGGUAGAUGGCCACCCGUAUGAGGGCAUAAGGGAUUCGAGCAUCCUCUAGGACCGAAACUACAAUUGAUCACUUUUUCCAAUGUUCAACACUUGGAGCCGAAAAUCGAUUGGUCAGUGUAAGGCGUGAGGAAGCCUCGCCCGAGAUUUUACUAGGUACUUCUAAAUAACCCAGGUUGGUAAUGUACUCCACUCUAACGAAGUAACAAUGGAAAGGGUCUUAUGCUUCAUGGACCCCUUCAUCGUGGCUAGUCUCCACGCCUGGGCUUCCUUGAUCAUUGACUCAGUAGGAAAUGAAGGUGAAUCCUCGAUAUUUAUCACCCCAAAUAUUCUUAUAGGGAAACUCCUUCAUCUCGAGGAGCCUCGAGCAUGGUUUUUACACCAGCAUCAACAGUAUCCUCGAUGGCCUUCUCAACUCGAGUUGGAGCAUCUUCAGAUCUUUCUGGCUCGGAGACUUCGGCCGAGGCUUCCCCCCUCAAACUCAUCAAGUCGAGGCAAAGAAGUUUCAGCUCCCACCGGCUCAGUAGUUCCUUGAAUCUCGGUUCCAGCUCGCACAAGGGCCACCACCCCGGAGUCCUUCUUCUUCUUUUUCUUCUUCGGCCUCAUCCCUUAGUCGUUGGACUGACUCCAAAGUUAGAGGGAUGAUGUUUCCCUUGGGUUUAUGGCCUAUUUUAUUUUUGGGUUUGUACCCCUCAGAGUUUGUGGAAGUCAAAGCUCUUUUCCUCUUCUUCUCUUUCACAGGCUUCGAGACAGCUGGUGGGGGAAGGAUUUCUUCAUCACCAGACAGGGGCCUCAUCGUCACUUCCAUCCCGAGACCUACAAAAACAAAAGAGGAAAUGAGUAAGAUUGGGAAAAUGUUCGAAUAGUGGUCAAAUCAUUAAGUCAUGAAGAAACAUUUACCAUGACUACUAGCCUCCCAUCGACCUUUCAACAAAUCACACCAUGCGCGCUCAGCAUGUGUCGACUUUGAUAUUAGGCUCCUUACCCAGUUCUCGAGUUGGGGAACCACACUUGGCUUCCAGGAAACAAGUGCAUCUAGUAAAACACUAAUAAGAAAUGGUGAGAAAUAAAGGCAAUAUACAGAAAUUAAUAACGGAACUAUACUUACGAUUCAUAUUCCAUUUCUUAGGAAAUGGCAUACUUUCGGCCGUAUCAGAUCAGAGGUCUUCACUCGAAUAAAGCGGCCCAUCCAGCCCCUGUAUUUUUCCUCAUCUAUGCCCGAGAAAGGUGCCCCAGUGGCCCAAAGUUGAAGUUUCAUUAGUCCUCCUCGACAGGCGUAUGAGGUGGUCGAGGGUGAAUGGAAGCCCAUCGACUUUUCUUACGAAGAAACGUAGUAGUAUCACUAUCCUCCAGAAAGAGAUGAAUCUGACAGAGGGUCAUCUCGUAUUUUUUUUGCAGAAAUCUAAGAUCAUUGGAUCCAAGGGACCCAAGAAGGGGUAAGUGCAAACACUUAAGAACUCUUCCACAUGGGUGAUGAUUUAUUCUUCUGGAGCAGGCACCACCACAUGUUUCUUACCCCAAUUGCAAUUUUUUAAAAUUGGGAGAGGAGUUUAUCGGUUAUCGAGCAUAUAUAUACCUCGAUACCGGCUCGCGUCGUCUCGGCACUGAGGAAGUCUUUUCAACCUUGAAAUCAGAAUCAAU
rnacentral:lncRNA from 1 species